AAGUAAGAAUGAUUUAAGAAAAGUUUUGUGAAUGAGGCCCAUUGGUUCUAUCUGCCGGUCAGAACAGUGUUAAUGUGUGCCUCGAAGGAACAGAGCUGUCACGCUUGGCUUUGUACUUGAGAAGGACUGUUUGCAUUUCUGUGCUAUAUCAGAUGCGCCAGACUGAAACCUGUGCAGACUUAUUUUCCCAGAACCCACUUUUCCUGCUUGAAUGAAUAUAUAAAUCAUUUUACACCUCAGAUGUUUUUUUUUCUUUCUUUUUUUAGCCUACAUUAAGUCAAUGAAGAGAAUCAUUUUUUACACUCCUGUUGCUGGGGAAAUACUCCUUUGGAAUUGUGAGUGAAUGAAUUUGGCAGGACAUCAAUUAACAUUCAGACUAAGUAAUUUUCAUACAUGUUUGUUUAUAUGGAAAAUGCAUAUAGUUGUCCUUAAUAUAUCAGGUUUAUCACCGUCUCCUAGUGCACUUAAAAAGGAUAUUUCCCCUGGUCUUCACUACCCUUCAAUAAAACAGCACACAGUAGAGACAUGGAUGAUGGCAGUAUUUGAAUUGUAUCAUCUACACUAAAACCUAGGAAAUAUGCAGGAGUUAUACACUCACUGGCCACUUCAUUAGGUACUUGCUAGUACCGGGUGUGGUCUUCUGCUACUGUAGCCCAUCUGCUUCAAGGUUCGACGGUCCAUUCUGUAAACCCUAGAGAUGGUUGUGCCUAAAAAUCCCAGCCGUUUCUGAAAUACUCAAACCAGCCCGUCUGGCACCAACAACCAUGCCACAUUCAAAGUCACCUUAAAUCACCUUUCUUCCCCAUUCUGAUGCUUGGUUUGAACUUCAGCAGAUCGUCUUGACCAUGUCUACAUGCCUAAAUGCAUUGAGUUGCUGCCACGUGAUUAGCUGAUUAGAUAUGUUAAUGAGCAGUUGAACAGGUGUACCUAAUGAAUUGGCUGGUGAGUGUAUAUGGUACACACACAUAAUGUUUACAAAAAUGUAAAUAAAAAAAUUAAUUUUUUCUAUAUUUAUUUCACAAAAUCCACAUCAGCUAGUGGCACACAAUUCAUCUCCAACAUGUUUCAACCACUGGGGAAAAACAAAUUGUGCAUAUCUAAAAGCUGUCAAGUUCAGCAAGGGAUCCCCAAGGAAAGACUACUUUUCACUUUGAAAAUAACUGAAUAAAAGUUUUUCAAUGACAGAAGUGGGUUCAGAUUGUGUGAGUAAUACACAGUAGGCUACUUUACAAGCCAAGUCCACGGUGCUGCGAAAAUGACACUACAGCAGCUACUAGGCAUUUUAAACAUGGUUUUAAAGCUUAGGAGUUCUGUCUAAUUCGCCCCGCUACUCGAUUGACUUGUCAUAACACCAAUCGCUGCUCUGACAACCAAAACUAGCUGGCCCCCACAAAGUGAUCUGGGGCACGUUCAAUCUGAAAACGGUGUGCACCGUUUUGCUACGGUUUCCGGGUUGAACGACAUGUUUCCUGGAAACGGUGUGAAACGGUGUCCAACGGGCUUUGUGGUAGCCUACGUUUUCUGUCGUUUGGUGGGUGUAUCAGAGAUGUUACCCAAUCAGCAGCGACAUGUGUAUAAACCGCACCGUAUUAAAAAUGCAGUGGGCAUAAUGGAUCAAACUAAAGUCCUUUACAAAUGAAUGGCCUUCUCAGCCAUAGACAUAUGUUCUCAGCUGCCAUAGUUGCAACGCUUGCGUAACACAACAGGAUGUUCAAUUCACCACUGUUGCCGUUUAAGUAAACGUUUUGUCGGGGCUGAACGCGCCCCUGAACUCAGUGGCUUUGCUUCUCUAGAUUUUUUUCAGCGGAAGCUUAUUGUUCAAAAUAACGUCUGAGCUGAAAAACAGCUGCAGCUUGAAUUCUAACGGAGUUAUAUUUUGGAUCACAAAAACGUUUUUACAGACAAAAAAAAACAUACAGAUGCAAAUAUUAGGUACCUCGGAGGGGAAUGCAAUUCUGCAAAGCACAGAUGUGACUUUCAGCAGGAAUAUCACAGGAGGUCAGCAGAUUAAGCUGAGGAAGGCACCAAUGAAUGACAGAAUGGCCUCAAAAAAAACCUUUGAGCUUACUUUAGACUCAUAACUGAUGGCUUAAUGUAUGACUAAAUAAAUUUGUUAAAACAGUA